rnacentral:rRNA from 1 species
UACAGAGGGGGCAAGCGUUAUUCGGAAUUAUUGGGCGUAAAGCGCGCGCAGGUGGUUCCUUAAGUCUGAUGUGAAAGCCCACGGCUCAACCGUGGAGGGUCAUUGGAAACUGGGUAACUUGAGUGCAGAAGAGGAAAGUGGAAUUCCAAGUGUAGCGGUGAAAUGCGUAGAGAUUUGGAGGAACACCAGUGGCGAAGGCGACUUUCUGGUCUGUAACUGACACUGAGGCGCGAAAGCGUGGGGAGCAAACAGG